rnacentral:tRNA from 1 species
GCCUGGGUGGCUCAGUCGGUUAAGCGUCUGACUUCGGCUCAGGUCGCGAUCACGCAGUCUGUGAGUUCGAGCCCCGCGUCGGGCU